rnacentral:misc_RNA from 1 species
AAAUGACGCCCUGUUAGAUUAUAAAAAAAAGAAAUGAUUUAUUUAUUUUUUUAAAUAAAAAAUAAAUAGGUUUAUCUUUAAGCGUUUAAAAAAAGUGAUAUUUCUGUGAUCACAAUAGUUUCUCCUGAAAUUAUGGACAGUCAGAAAGCAACACUAGGAUCUGAAGCGAUGAUUUCGUGGAUCACAACUUACUCCUGUCAUACUAAUGUGAUUGAUGAAUAGCUGUCCUUUAAAGGUAUAAGAAACACUGCUAGCAUACUCGAAUAAACUCGGAUUCAGCAUAUCGUGAUGCCAUCGAGAUGGGAGACGUUCAUCCAAAGGCGUUCGAGCAAGGUGUCGUACACGGAUCAGCAGAAGACGUUCGCCGGCGAUUCCGAACUUGCCGGACCCUCGAAAGCCUGGAGAUCGAACUACGAAACAUCAAGCGCUUCGGGUGAUACAUUUAUACAAACAACGACGAACACGUCUUCGGAAGAGACGACUUCCUCAUCGAAUACUUUCUCCUGCGAGAAGGUAAAAGCGGCUUUCGGGAACCCGUUCUGUAUCAACUCAACGGAUGAGGUCUUGGACUUGGAGCCGGCGGAAAAUGAAGUGAUACGCAACGGAGAAGUGAAACUCGGGAACAGAUUGAUAAGAAGCGCUUGCAUUAUGAAGACCGCUUGCUUUGCCACUGUAGGCAUUGGGACAGGCAUCGCAGCGGUUUUCAUUCUCAUCUUUCAAGAAGUGAUGGCGGAAUUCAAGUAUCAUGCUUUGCUAAAUGUUUUAGAUAAUCACCAAAUAACAUCACCUUUGGUGAUUCUUUUCUGGUUCAGUGGUGUCAUUAUUCCUUUGCUGAUCGGUUGCCUCAUAGUUAUUUACAUCGAGCCAAAAGCAGCAGGUGAAGGUAUAGCGAACGUUAUCGGAUAUUUAAAUGGAGUGAACACUUCGACUGGUAAUACGAUGAAAAUCAUGAUUGUAAAGUUUUUCAGCGUUUUUGGCACAAUGGCAUCAGGGAUUGCAGGGGGGAUGGAAGGUCCAUUAAUUCAUAUCGGUGCUUGCAUAGCUAGCUGUAUAUCAAAUCUUCGAUUGCCUUUCCAUUGGUGUAUAAGACCUGAACCAAAUUUCAAUCAGCCUUUCAGACGUUUACAAACUGAUUUACACCGAAGAGAUUUAGUCGGAGGUGGCAUGGCAGCAGGGAUUUCUGGAGGAUUUUUUGCUCCCUUUGGAGGUUUGAUUAUGGUUUUAGAAGAAGGGUUGAUUUAUUGUACCAGUGAUGUUAUGGUUGGUAUCCUCAUUUGCUCUAUUGUAUGUCAAGUAUUUGUUGUGACUGUCAUGUCAAUAAUUUUUGGCUGUGAAGGUUGCCAAAAUCAAAGAGCUUUAUUAUUUUUUUCGACACCGACCAAGUCGAAUGGUUACAAAUACAGGGACAUCGGGCUCAUAAUCUUGGAAGCGGUGAUUGCUGGCCUUCUCGGUGCAGCAUGGAAUUAUUGCCAACUAAGAUUGAUUUUAUUAAGAAACAUAUAUGUUAAAACAAAUGGUCGUAGAAUUUCUGAAGCGUUAGUGCUCGCUUUGAUCACUGCUGGUAUUGGGUGGUUGCAACUUGCAGGUUUGCAGCAAAAUUGUGUUGAUGAACCAUCUGAUGUCAAAGGAUUUAAUUUUGCCUCGUUGAAAUUAAAAUGCAAAAGUGGACAGAUAAACGGUGUUGGCACACUUAUUGGAUUGUCUCAGCCAAGUGCGAUAAAGUUUCUUUUCUACGAUUCUGACUCCUUUGACAUGACUACACUUUUAAUAUAUUCUAUUACAUACUUCUUCCUUUCAACGGCGACGAUGGGUACGUACAUAUCUGCUGGAAUAUUCGUACCGAACAUUUUGCUUGGAGCUGCUUGGGGGAGAUUCUAUGGAGAGUUCUGGAAAGCUGUCGCUUUCCCAUAUGAAGAUUUCAGACCUCAUAUAUUUGCGAUUGUUGGAGCCGGUGCGCAGCUCUGUGGUGUGAUCAGAGUGCCUUUAACCAUAGCGAUUAUUAUGAUUGAAACUUGUUCAGCAUAUUAUCUAACUCUUCCGAUUUUUAUUGCAAUGAUGAUUUCAACAGUGGUCGGCAACACGAUUAAUGAAUCUAUAUACCAUAUCCAGUGCUUGGUGGCAGGCAUGCCAAUAAUUGAAAAAGACCCUUCACCGUUAUGCAUGAGAAUUUCAGUUCAAGAUGUGAUGGAAAAAAGUGUUGUCAGCCUGCAAAAAGAGGAAUCGAUACAAAAUGUCUUGUUCAACUUGAUGUCAACGACACACAACAUUUUUCCUAUUUUAAAAGGAAAGGUUCGGUCCGAAGGUGCCAACUAAUCCAAAUACUGCGGUAUAAUCUUUUCAACAAAGACUUUGUUCAAAGCUAUGAGAUUAUGAAAGGCAAUGAUAACCCUCCAUGGACCAUUAAUGAUAUUGACUUAAACCUAUAUGACCUAGAUCAAAUCAUCGACUUAGGUUUAUACAUGAACAACUCACCUUAUUCUUUAAAAAUGGACAGCUCAAUUGUGAACGCUCAUAAGUUAAUGUCCCACAUGGGCGCAAGGCAUGUAAUCAUCGUCAAUGAACUUAAUGAGGUUGUUGGCAUUUUGACGAGAAAAG